rnacentral:ncRNA from 2 species
GGGUGCUCGCUGGCCAGAACGUGGUGCGGGCAGGCUUUUGCGCUGGUCGGGCCGCCAGCG